rnacentral:lncRNA from 1 species
UAACUAAGAAAAGACAAGUGAAUUUGAAGUAAAAAUAUAUAUAAAUAUGAUCCGAUCACAAGCCACAAGGUAUGGUUUAUGUUCUUAUCUUCAAUUCUAAUUGUUAGAUCUUCUAAAUAUUUAUAUUUGAUAUAAAGAGCUAAUCACUUGUAUAAUUGUAUAUAGGUGGAGAAGCCAAGUAGAAGAAGGACAAGCAAGGAAAAUGUGGAGAAGUGUUCGGCCACUAUGUUUUUUGCUUACUACUUAGGAAGUUUGUUAGGCAUUUAAAGAUUGUCUUUAAACUUUCUUAUUUUGUUAAGAACUUAUAAUGUGGCUUCAUAUGAUGGAAGACCACUAUUUAGUGCCUAAAUGUAUAAAGGUAUUUAGAUUAGUCUCUAAAUGUAUAGAGCUAAUACUUUUUGUAUUAAACAUUAUGAAUGUUUGAAUUAUCAUAUUAAUGUAAUGUGAUGAAUACCUUCUAAUAUAUUAUUUCCUUAAAGUAGUGUUAUGAAUUGAAUAAAUGUCUUGAUGUAUCCUAGUUGAGAUACAAGAUUUAUAUCACUUAUUGUAAUGUGAUAAACCAAACUUUAGAUUUAUCAAUUAUGGAUAGAUCUCACAUGUAGGACAUAAAAGGAUACAAUGAAUCUUUAGAUUUGGUUCCAUUUGUCUACCUAUGAGUUCUAUAUGAAUUGACAAAAGUCUAGAGAAUCCUUUCUUGAAGAAGAGGAAGAUCACAUUAUAAUGAUAUAAGUUAUAAGAAAAACGUUUCUUAUAUGGUUGUCACUUCAAACACAAUGAUCAAGAUCACUCUUGAUUCAAUUAGUAGUUUUGAACAACUAAUUGCGCAUUCUUGAAAUUGUUUUAAAAUGUCAAUUGUGUUAGUGAUUAAACCAAGAAAGAAGUGUCUAAAUCUAUAAAAUGUUUAAAGACUUUAGUCACUUAAAUAACAAGACAUUAAACUUAGUGAAGAUUGAAACAAAUAAGCUUGAAAUGUUUUAAAGCUACUACACAAUGUCUUCUACCAAUAUACUCCACUUUUAUACAUUUUGAAUGUAUGAAAUGAUUUCUCAUUAAAGUCAUGAGAAAUAGUGGGAGGUGUGAAAAUGGAUAUAAACUUGAAUAUGAUUGGUUUAUAGUUGUCUAAAGAAUAAUAGUACUCGACUAUUAUUAAGAGUUUUUAAUUUUAAUUGUUAAAAGACUCAAGCUCUUCAAACGUUAAAAUUCUAUGUUGUGUGACAUUCUAAAGAAUAGUCUUUGAAUGUUGGUUUUGUCAACCUAGCAUAAAAUGGUUAUAUGUUGGGAGUUGUCCAUCAUUCUCUUUUAUGAGAACAAGCUAAAUAACUAAGCAUAUGGACAAGUUGAUGAAACAAAAGGGAAAUAGUUUCAAAAUGAGUCACAACAUAUGGUUUAACAACAAGACAAUCCAAAUUCAACAUCUCAUGUAAUAAUAUUGCUCUAUGUAGUUUUAAUAAAGAAUUAUAUCAACCACCUAGAAGGAAUGGUUGAGUUUCUAUAUCCUUAGUAGGAGCCAUGCUUCCACUAAAGACUUGGAUAAUUCUUAUAUGACUACAUUAUAGGUCUUAGUAUGACUAAAACUUGAAGUAUGGUGUAUGACACCAUAUAAUUUAAAUGAAUAGACUUAAUGAAACAAGUCACACAUUUCAAAUGGAAUUACUUAAGAAGGAAUUCUUUUGUGUGUGAUUCAUUUAAGUUAGUGGGAGCAAUAUGCAUUCAAAUCAAGAAAAUAUAAUUGUUAUUUUGAAUGAAUGCUAAGUUACAACAAGGCCAGUGGGAGUGAUGUCAUAAUUUGAGCAACAAGAUGUGAAUAAAGUCUAUUCGAUAGACUUGAUAAAACAUAGAUGUUACUCGAGAAAUGACAAAAAAUGACAUGGUCAAUUUUGAAGUAUAGACUUGAAAUUGGGCUUAUUGAUAUAGCAAGGCUAUCUCAAUAAUGUUAUAUGGGAAUUAAAUCUCAAAUGUUGUGGAUUUAAGAAAGCAUUUUCUAUGUAAUAGAAAAACACUUUCAUAACCCUUAUAAUGAAUAUGUCACAAAAUCACAAAAGGGACACAUAUAUGGACUUGUGAAGUAGAUAUCCAAAAGUGAAGAACCACAGGGGUUGUCACUAUAAGAUAUUACUAAAUCCCAGGAUCAGAACCAAAGCAACUGACAGAGUAUUAUUGCCUUUAAGAAAGAAACAUCAGAGUGGGACUCUAGAAGCGUGCAUUCACUUAGGUUAUUAACCAAAGUGAAAAAUAAACCAUUUUAACAAAUGGAACUUCAUAAUGGAUGAAGUACUAAUCAUAUGAAUGAUUGUUAGUAUUGUACUACAAUGGUCUCAACAUUGGAGCAAAGUUUGUAUAAGGUAUACAAACGAAAUAUAUGACGAUAUAUUGGUUUAGAAACUGCUUCAAAAGGUGUUUUGAAUGAAGGGGUUCUUAUAGAACCAAUGAUUGAAUCCAAACCAUAAGGUCGUUAGUAGGAUA